AUUGAACGCUGGCGGCAUGCCUUACACAUGCAAGUCGAACGGCAGCGCGGGAGCAAUCCUGGCGGCGAGUGGCGAACGGGUGAGUAAUACAUCGGAACGUGCCCAAUCGUGGGGGAUAACGCAGCGAAAGCUGUGCUAAUACCGCAUACGAUCUACGGAUGAAAGCAGGGGAUCGCAAGACCUUGCGCGAAUGGAGCGGCCGAUGGCAGAUUAGGUAGUUGGUGAGGUAAAGGCUCACCAAGCCUUCGAUCUGUAGCUGGUCUGAGAGGACGACCAGCCACACUGGGACUGAGACACGGCCCAGACUCCUACGGGAGGCAGCAGUGGGGAAUUUUGGACAAUGGGCGAAAGCCUGAUCCAGCCAUGCCGCGUGCAGGGAU
rnacentral:rRNA from 1 species